AUUGAAUGUUGAAAAUCGAAUGUUGAAAACGAAAGUUGAAAGUUGAAUGCUGAAAAUCGAAUGUCGAAAUUGAAUGUUGAUUAUUAUUAACGAAUAUUGAAUGUUGAAAACGAAUGUUGAAUGUUGAAAAUCGAAUGUUGAAAACGAAUGUUGACUGUUGAAAACGAAUGUUGAAUUUUUAAAAUCGAAUGUUGAAUUUUGAAAACGCA
rnacentral:lncRNA from 1 species